CGUGACAACUAACCCCUGAUCUGGUGACUAAACACAACUGACGCCCAGGACCCCGAUUCAUGGAACGGUGUUGCUACCCACAGCUAAAGUGGAUCUUCUCACCUCAAAGGAUCUAAUCUAGGUGGCCCCUCAUAGAUAUGCUCAGAGGUUUGUCGCCUAGGUGAUUAUAGGUCGCCAAGGUUGGCAGUCAGCACUGAUGAGCCAGCAGGCGUCUUAGCAAUUACAGACUAGUUCACCCACCACGGAUGAUGGGGUUCUCAGCGCCAUCUAGUGGUUGAAUGAUGCAAGCACUUCCAUGGCAAACCGUAGAAGGCAAAACUAAAUAUAAAAACUGAAUGAUAAGGAGAAGGCAGCCACGUCAAUGUCUUGGAGUCGUGCCAAGAUGGGAACACCUUAACAUGUAUGAUGUCCAUCAAGAAGGACAACGUGGGCGGAAUGUGAAGGUGAUGGAACCCACCUAGGAUGGCCUUGCAAAUGUGACAGAGCAUGAGGCUGUGCUGGAAAGGGCCAUUCCCUAAGGAGAAGAUGUAUUAGUCACACUGCAAUGCUCCAACACAAAAGAGCCCCGGACUUGUCACUUCUAACACCAACAUCGACCUUCCCCUCUGUGUCACCGGCUGCCUUUGUAGUAGGCGCGUUUUUUAUUCCCACUCGAAGGAUACAGUGACUCUAAUAGUGCCUUCCUGACUUCGUUUAUGGUGGCAACUCUCACGGGUAGUUCAGCGAUUCUAAUGUGGAUCUCGCCAGUCUCCGCGUGCUCAAGCCCCGCCCCCCACCUCAGUGGUGAGCUGCUUUCCUGUCAUCCAACUCAUCCCUCCCCUCCGCCCCCUCCACCCAGGCCCCUGCCCUAGUCCUCAUCAGAGACCCUACCAGUUUUUUGUUUUUGUUUUGUUUUCUAUGGAAGCAUUCAUGUCUUUUAUUUACUCUGCAAUUCAUCUUUCGAACUACUUCUGCUGUUAGCAUUCUGUAUAAACUCCACCCCUACAGAUACCUGGCAGCAGCCAGGUAUGCUCCUCCCCAUG